CCCGCCCCGACCCACCCACCCAGCCAUCCCUAAACGAGGCGUCACGUCGGGGCAUUUUUCAAUCGCGCGAAAUAAAAAAAAACGCACAUAAAAAAACAGGGACUGAUCCAUCGCUGUCUUUCGGUUUCGUGCUCUCUCUUUCUCUCACUUUUUUUUUGCCCCUGUGAUGAUCGUAGUUGGAGGCUCGGAGCGGAUGACGAUACCAAGGACGGCGAGGAGCAACGAAAAUUCGGAAGCAGCAACGAAAAAUGUUUCUCCUUGUCAUUAUCUCUUCUUCUUCUCCGUGGGAGAUAACAAGGGCCACGAAAAAUUAAAUUGAAUCUCCGGCCAAGAGUGACCGGACCGGGCGGCGGCGGGAGGGAGGGAGGGAUAGGCGGAUAAGCGUAG
rnacentral:lncRNA from 7 species